rnacentral:rRNA from 1 species
GGGUUGUGAGGUUAAGCGACUAAGCGUACACGGUGGAUGCCCUGGCAGUCAGAGGCGAUGAAGGACGUGCUAAUCUGCGAAAAGCGUCGGUAAGGUGAUAUGAACCGUUAUAACCGGCGAUGUCCGAAUGGGGAAACCCAGUGCAAUUCGUUGCACUAUCGUUAACUGAAUACAUAGGUUAACGAGGCGAACCGGGGAACUGAAACAUCUAAGUACCCCGAGGAAAAGAAAUCAACCGAGAUUCCCCAGUAGCGGCGAGCGAACGGGGAGCAGCCCAGAGUCUGAAUCAGCUUGUGUGUUAGUGGAACGGUCUGGAAAGUCCGACGGUACAGGGUGAUAGUCCCGUACACCAAAAUGCACAGGCUGUGAACUCGAAGAGUAGGGCGGGACACGUGGUAUCCUGUCUGAAUAUGGGGACCAUCCUCCAAGGCUAAAUACUCCUGACUGACCGAUAGUGAACCAGUACCGUGAGGGAAAGGCGAAAAGAACCCCGGCGAGGGGAGUGAAAAGAACCUGAAACCGUGUACGUACAAGCAGUGGGAGCACCUUCGGGUGUGACUGCGUACCUUUGUAUAAUGGGUCAGCGACUUAUAUUCUGUAGCAAGGUUAACCGUAUAGGGGAGCCGCAGGGAAACCGAGUCUUAACUGGGCGUUAAGUUGCAGGGUAUAGACCCGAAACCCGGUGAUCUAGCCAUGGGCAGGUUGAAGGUUGGGUAACACUAACUGGAGGACCGAACCGACUAAUGUUGAAAAAUUAGCGGAUGACUUGUGGCUGGGGUGAAAGGCCAAUCAAACCGGGAGAUAGCUGGUUCUCCCCGAAAGCUAUUUAGGUAGCGCCUCGUGAAUUCAUCUUCGGGGUAGAGCACUGUUUCGGCUAGGGGUCAUCCCGACUUACCAACCCGAUGCAAACUACGAAUACCGAAGAAUGUUAUCACGGGAGACACACGGCGGGUGCUAACGUCCGUCGUGAAGAGGGAAACAACCCAGACCGCCAGCUAAGGUCCCAAAGUCAUGGUUAAGUGGGAAACGAUGUGGGAAGGCACAGACAGCCAGGAUGUUGGCUUAGAAGCAGCCAUCAUUUAAAGAAAGCGUAAUAGCUCACUGGUCGAGUCGGCCUGCGCGGAAGAUGUAACGGGGCUAAACCAUGCACCGAAGCUGCGGCAGCGACACUAUGUGUUGUUGGGUAGGGGAGCGUUCUGUAAGCCUGCGAAGGUGUGCUGUGAGGCAUGCUGGAGGUAUCAGAAGUGCGAAUGCUGACAUAAGUAACGAUAAAGCGGGUGAAAAGCCCGCUCGCCGGAAGACCAAGGGUUCCUGUCCAACGUUAAUCGGGGCAGGGUGAGUCGACCCUAAGGCGAGGCCGAAAGGCGUAGUCGAUGGGAAACAGGUUAAUAUUCCUGUACUUGGUGUUACUGCGAAGGGGGGACGGAGAAGGCUAUGUUAGCCGGGCGACGGUUGUCCCGGUUUAAGCAUGUAGGCUGGUUGUCCAGGCAAAUCCGGAUAAUCAAGGCUGAGGUGUGAUGACGAGGCACUACGGUGCUGAAGUAACAAAUGCCCUGCUUCCAGGAAAAGCCUCUAAGCAUCAGGUAACAUUAAAUCGUACCCCAAACCGACACAGGUGGUCAGGUAGAGAAUACCAAGGCGCUUGAGAGAACUCGGGUGAAGGAACUAGGCAAAAUGGUGCCGUAACUUCGGGAGAAGGCACGCUGGUGUGUAGGUGAAGUCCCUGCGGAUGGAGCUGAGACCAGUCGAAGAUACCAGCUGGCUGCAACUGUUUAUUAAAAACACAGCACUGUGCAAACACGAAAGUGGACGUAUACGGUGUGACGCCUGCCCGGUGCCGGAAGGUUAAUUGAUGGGGUUAUCCGUAAGGAGAAGCUCUUGAUCGAAGCCCCGGUAAACGGCGGCCGUAACUAUAACGGUCCUAAGGUAGCGAAAUUCCUUGUCGGGUAAGUUCCGACCUGCACGAAUGGCGUAAUGAUGGCGGGCUGUCUCCACCCGAGACUCAGUGAAAUUGAACUCGCUGUGAAGAUGCAGUGUACCCGCGGCAAGACGGAAAGACCCCGUGAACCUUUACUAUAGCUUGACACUGAACAUUGAGCCUUGAUGUGUAGGAUAGGUGGGAGGCUUUGAAGCGUGGACGCCAGUCUGCGUGGAGCCAACCUUGAAAUACCACCCUUUAAUGUUUGAUGUUCUAACGUUGGCCCCUUACCGGGGUUGCGGACAGUGUCUGGUGGGUAGUUUGACUGGGGCGGUCUCCUCCCAAAGCGUAACGGAGGAGCACGAAGGUUAGCUAAUCUGGUCGGACAUCAGGAGGUUAGUGCAAUGGCAUAAGCUAGCUUGACUGCGAGCGUGACGGCGCGAGCAGGUGCGAAAGCAGGUCAUAGUGAUCCGGUGGUUCUGAAUGGAAGGGCCAUCGCUCAACGGAUAAAAGGUACUCCGGGGAUAACAGGCUGAUACCGCCCAAGAGUUCAUAUCGACGGCGGUGUUUGGCACCUCGAUGUCGGCUCAUCACAUCCUGGGGCUGAAGUAGGUCCCAAGGGUAUGGCUGUUCGCCAUUUAAAGUGGUACGCGAGCUGGGUUUAGAACGUCGUGAGACAGUUCGGUCCCUAUCUGCCGUGGGCGCUGGAGAAUUGAGGGGGGCUGCUCCUAGUACGAGAGGACCGGAGUGGACGCAUCACUGGUGUUCGGGUUGUCAUGCCAAUGGCACUGCCCGGUAGCUAAAUGCGGAAGAGAUAAGUGCUGAAAGCAUCUAAGCACGAAACUUGCCCCGAGAUGAGUUCUCCCUGAGACUUUAAGUCUCCUGAAGGAACGUUAAAGACGAUGACGUUGAUAGGCCGGGUGUGUAAGCGCAGCGAUGCGUUGAGCUAACCGGUACUAAUGAACCGUGAGGCUUAACCUUACAACGCCGAAG